AACGAACGCUGGCGGCAGGCUUAACACAUGCAAGUCGAACGCCCUCUUCGGAGGGAGUGGCAGACGGGUGAGUAACGCGUGGGAAUCUACCUAGUGGUACGGAAUAACCGAGGGAAACUUCGGCUAAUACCGUAUAAGCCCUUCGGGGAAAGAUUUAUUGCCAUUAGAUGAGCCCGCGUCGGAUUAGCUAGUUGGUAGGGUAAUGGCCUACCAAGGCGACGAUCCGUAGCUGGUCUGAGAGGAUGAUCAGCCACACUGGGACUGAGACACGGCCCAGACUCCUACGGGAGGCAGCAGUGGGGAAUAUUGGACAAUGGCGAAAGCCUGAUCCAGCCAUGCCGCGUGAGUGACGAAGGCCUUAGGGUUGUAAAGCUCUUUAGCAGGGACGAUAAUGACGGUACCUGCAGAAUAAGCCCCGGCUAAC
rnacentral:rRNA from 1 species